CAGUGUGCUGUAACUGACGCCAAAGCUCAGUGAUGACUUCAGCCCCCGGCCUAGUAUUCAAUCAUGCGUCGAUAAAGACACCAAAGGAGUAGGCAACCGGAUAUGACCAGGCUGCUGGUAAUAUCCAGCAGCGGUAGCCAGCAGUAUUGCCCAGCCUGAUCCCGUAGCCAAGGGAAGCCCCUGGAGAUGAACUCAACUGGGCCAUCGCCAGGGGUACCUGGAGAGGUGAAUGCCAUAGACACGGUCUCUACAGGAAACUCCUGGCUGCAGUUCCUUUGAGGUGAACCGUGUCCCUUAAGAGCCACCAUCCACUGCUGUCUUGACUACUCUGGUGAGGGUGACUUAGUAAGUGGAGGGCAUUUUGGACCGAUGUCAUCCCUUGAUCCAACAGCCUAAAAAUGCACCAGAGUUUCACCCUAAUGAUGUCUUGGAGUUCAUGUCAAGGGUCAAGAAUUGGCUGACAAUAGACAGUUCCACUCAGACUGGGGCUGAAGGACAUACACUUUUCAUAUAUCUCAAAGGGCAACGUCAU